GGGAGAGAAGCACAAGCCGGAGGAAAAGACAGCCCUGCAAAGUCGUAGGACCCCGGAUCUGAAGGGCAAAAGCUGAAGGAUUAUAUUUCCACGCUCAAAGAACAGGGCCAUGAAUCUAAUGUUGGCCAAGAUUCCUAUACUUGACAGAGGUACCAGUUCAUCACAGCAACUUCUAUAACCUUGAAACACAUGCCUGAAUACAUGUGUCUUACUUGUGGGUUUAGAAGAAAGCGCUUGUCACAUAUUGCUUUUCCACUGUAAUCCCCCAACCAUCAACUUGAAGGAAAGGAAGGAAGAAAAGAAGAAAAGGAGGAAGGAAAGAAGGACGGAAAAAGAGUAGACCACUGGUCGCAGAGUGCUCCUUGGGUUGAGAAGGAGAAACGACAAAGAAGGGAGCCCUGCUGGAGCCUCUCAAAACUGAAAGAGCACUACAGUUUCAUUCACUGUCCCCACUACUAGUCUUCUGCAAGCCUUAAGAGUUAUAUUCCUCAGUUGGAGAAGCUUUGAUCCAGUGUUCAGUUAAUAAAAUAAUUUUUCCAGAAAUUUACAUUGGAUUAUAUAUAUGGUAAAAUAAUGGAAUUUUAAUAUUUAACUCAUUUGCUUGUUUCUGAAUAUCAUUUCCCAAGGAAUUAUAUUGAACUUUAUUAACUUAAUAAAAAAAUACAGAUUCUGUGUUACAUAAAAUAAUUGGCACACUGGUUGGUUAAUGAUUUAUGAGAAUUAAUUCUUCAUCUUAAAUGGAAGAAAUUCUAAACUUUCAACAUUUCAAGCAUUUCAUUUUGUUUUUUAUAUACAAAGAGAAAUAAGAAGCUCUCCAGAGAAAAUUUCUGUGCAAGCAAAAUGUGUUCCAAAAAGACUUGUGAAACUCUAUUUGAUAUUGUUAUCUACUAAGAGAGAGAAUGAAAUUAUCACUUGAUAAAGCCCAAAGAAAACUUGAUGGUCUCAGAUAAAAUGAGUGAUCUUUGCAGAGGAAAAGUACUUCACAGAAGCCGGAAACUGGGACACCAAAGGGAGGAAACUGGUACUAGAAUAUUUCACUUAAUGACUAUAUGACAAGUCCAUCACAGUUCAUUAUUUACAGGUCAUUUUCCUGUCAAUUGUAGGAAUCCUGGCCUUAAUCAUUUGUGUCAACACACACUUCCGUAUAAAAACUUCCAACAUGAUACAGAUAAUUCUGAGAAACACGAUAUGUGUUCUGACAAUUUUGUGCUUUCCUUUUGACUCUGAAUUUGCCAAGAUAUUUCCUGUUAACUCCUUGGCAUGAGUGUUUUUAAGUGUCUCUUACUGAUGCCAGCACUGGGUGUCAUGCUGGGAAAAUCCAGUUUUUGAAAGGAAAAUUACAAAGCAUUGUGGUCAGCAUUAAAUUUAAAGGAACAUUGCUACUACUUUUAAAUACAUUUCCACAGUUAGGUAUUUGAUUAUUUUAGACAGAAUUUCUUUGUAGCAUCAUAACAGAAUUUCUUUUUUAGCAUCUUUA